rnacentral:rRNA from 2 species
UGGAUCCAGACUUUGAUCCUGGCUCAGGACGAACGCUGGCGGCGUGCUUAACACAUGCAAGUCGUACGAGACGAUUGAAAGCUUGCUUUUGAAAGUCGAGUGGCAAACGGGUGAGUAACGCGUAGACAACCUGCCGUAAAGAUGGGGACAACAGUCCGAAAGGACUGCUAAUACCGAAUGUUGUGGAACUUCCGCAUGGGAGCUCCACUAAAGAUGGCCUCUACUUGUAAGCUAUCGCUUUACGAUGGGUCUGCGUCUGAUUAGCUAGUUGGUGGGGUAACGGCCUACCAAGGCGACGAUCAGUAGCCGGUCUGAGAGGAUGAACGGCCACAUUGGAACUGAGACACGGUCCAGACUCCUACGGGAGGCAGCAGUGGGGAAUCUUCCGCAAUGGGCGCAAGCCUGACGGAGCAACGCCGCGUGAGUGAAGAAGGGUUUCGACUCGUAAAGCUCUGCUGUCGGGGACGAACGUGGAGAUGGUGAAUAACCAUUUCCAAUGACGGUACCUGACGAGGAAGCCACGUCUAACUACGUGCCAGCAGCCGCGGUAAUACGUAGGUGGCGAGCGUUGUCCGGAAUUAUUGGGCGUAAAGGGAGCGCAGGCGGGAGGUCAAGUUUAUCUUAAAAGUGCGGGGCUCAACCCCGUGAGGGGAUGGAAACUGGUCUUCUUGAGUGCAGGAGAGGAAAGCGGAAUUCCUAGUGUAGCGGUGAAAUGCGUAGAUAUUAGGAGGAACACCAGUGGCGAAGGCGGCUUUCUGGACUGUAACUGACGCUGAGGCUCGAAAGCGUGGGGAGCGAACAGGAUUAGAUACCCUGGUAGUCCACGCCGUAAACGAUGAAUGCUAGGUGUAGGAGGUAUCGACCCCUCCUGUGCCGGAGUUAACGCAAUAAGCAUUCCGCCUGGGGAGUACGGCCGCAAGGCUGCAACUCAAAUGAAUUGACGGA